rnacentral:rRNA from 1 species
CCUAUGGGGUGCAGCAGGCGCGAAAACUUUACAAUGCGGGAAACCGUGAUAAGGGAACUCCGAGUGCCCGUAAAAUCGGGCUGUCCACCAGUUUAAAUAACUGGUGAAGAAAGGGCCGGGCAAGACCGGUGCCAGCCGCCGCGGUAAUACCGGCGGCUCGAGUGGUGGCCACUAUUACUGGGCUUAAAGCGUUCGUAGCUGGUCUGUUAAGUCUCUGGGGAAAUCUACUGGCUUAACCAAUAGGCGUCUCAGGGAUACUGGCAGACUAGGGACCGGGAGAGGUGAGAGGUACUCCAGGGGUAGGAGUGAAAUCCUGUAAUCCUUGGGGGACCACCUGUGGCGAAGGCGUCUCACCAGAACGGCUCCGACAGUGAGGGACGAAAGCUGGGGGAGCAAACCGGAUUAGAUACCCCCGUAGUCC